UGGUCUUUAAUUAUUCAAAUGCCCUGAAUCUGAGGCUGGAAGGAAUAGGGCAGAUUUGAGGUAGUGUGAAAAGGCCGUCUGUGAUGGACAUGUGUGCAGAGCCAGGAACAAAGCCAUUCCAUUAUUUUAAACAGCAGAUAAAAUGAGCUUUUUGAAGAGAACGGACAGGAGGAAGGCUGCACAGAUCUGGGCUGGGAUCCUGCUUCCACCACUGGUAACAUUCUCUUGAGUUUGUUUAACUUCUCUGAGCUUUAGCUCCCUCUUCUGCAAGUUCAGGUCAUUACUUCUGUGAAGGAUAUCUGCCAAGCUUGAAAAA